CAGUCGCCGCGGGAAUACGUAGGUGGCAAGCGUUGUCCGGAAUUAUUGGGCGUAAAGGGCUCACAGGCGGUUUCUUAAGUCUGAUGUGAAAGCCCCCGGCUCAACCGGGGAGGGUCAUUGGAAACUGGGAAACUUGAGUGCAGAAGAGGAGAGUGGAAUUCCACGUGUAGCGGUGAAAUGCGUAGAGAUGUGGAGGAACACCAGUGGCGAAGGCGACUCUCUGGUCUGUAACUGACGCUGAGGAGCGAAAGCGUGGGGAGCGAACAGGAUUAGAUACCCGUGUAGUCCCUGUCUCUUAUAC
rnacentral:rRNA from 1 species